GACGAACGCUGGCGGCGUGCUUAACACAUGCAAGUCGAACGGAAAGGCCCUGCUUGCAGGGUACUCGAGUGGCGAACGGGUGCGUAACACGUGGGUGAUCUGCACUGCACUUCUGGAUAAGCCUGGGUAACUGGGACUAAUACCGGAUAGGAGCCACUUUUAGUGUGAUGGUUGGAAAGUUUUUUCGGUGUAGGAUGAGCUCGCGGCCUAUCAGCUUGUUGGUGGGGUAAUGGACUGCCAAGGAGGCGACGGGUAGCCGGCCAGAGAGAGUGGACGACCACAUUGGGACUUAGAUACGGCCCAGACUCCUACGGGAGGCCGCAGUGGGGAAGAUUGCACAAUGGGCGCAAGGCGGAUGCAGAGACGCCGCGUGGGGGAUGACGGCCUUCUGGUUGUAAACUCCUUUCGCUGUAGACGAAGAUGUAUGUGACGGUACCUAGAUAAGAAGCACCGGCUAACUACGUG
rnacentral:rRNA from 1 species